rnacentral:rRNA from 1 species
UACGUAGGGUGCAAGCGUUAAUCGGAAUUACUGGGCGUAAAGCGUGCGCAGGCGGCUUUGCAAGACAGAUGUGAAAUCCCCGGGCUCAACCUGGGAACUGCAUUUGUGACUGCAAGGCUAGAGUACGGGAGAGGGGGAUGGAAUUCCGCGUGUAGCAGUGAAAUGCGUAGAUAUGCGGAGGAACACCGAUGGCGAAGGCAAUCCCCUGGGCAUGUACUGACGCUCAUGCACGAAAGCGUGGGGAGCAAACAGG